GCUAGGCUCUCUGGCAUGAGGAACAAAGAGGACCUACAGUUUUUUUAAAGGGCCUAUAUCAUUUUUCACAGCUGCUCCUGGUUGGGGCUAAAUGUAAAAAAUUCACACUCGAAUUUUCCAUCUACGAAAUCCUUCAAAAUGUGUACAAUAUACAGGAUGAAUUAUGAGAAAGCUGUCGAUUGAUACAACUACCUGAAAAAUACAAGGAGAACUUCGACAUUUCGAGUGAAGGCCCUU